CUUCCCCCAACUCAGCUUGGUGUCGCAGACAGCCUGUCAGAGAGGUGGGAGGAGGGAAAUGCUCUGGCUCCUAGGUUGAGACCACUGUGUCCCCUCCCAGAAGGGCACAUCACCUAACAAGGAAGUUGGUUUGAAGAUUAGGAGCCAGAAGGGAAGGAAUUGAGGCUCCGAGAGGUCGAGGGCUUUGCCCAGUCACAUGGGAGGCAUAGAAGCUGAAUGCAGAUGUUGAUUUGGGGGCUUAUAGUAUGGAUCAAGCUGAACAGGGGACUUUAAUUUGAAAUUGCUUGGAAUCAAAAGGACCCAGGUCUUUACCUUACCCCCCUGGAAAACUGGACUCUACCUAAAGAAGCAACCUGGCCUUGGAUGAGUCAGCUUUGGCCUUAUUGUGCUCCCUUCCAGGACUCUACAGAACUUUCUGAACACUUCCAGCCCUGCCCCCAGUGAGUAUGCCAUUCUUUCCCUUUCCAGUUGUCCAUCUUUUAUCUAACCCAAAUAUAAAGUCAGCUGUUUGAGGGCAAGGACUGUUCUUUUGUUUUCUAAAUCUAGGAUCCCAAGAGUGUUAUUUUCCAGGCUUGACUUUGCAGUUGUUUCUGGUGAUGAAAUAUAUUCUUCGAGGAUGAAGAUAGUGAAAAGAAAAUGACUUUUAAGGCAAUUCCCAAAGAAGGCUGCUCAAACAUUUUGAAUACUGGCAGCAUCAUGGGCAUCUGUGCCUAGCUUCCCAAAAGGACCACUUUGAAGGUUAACAAUUUGGAUGAAUCUGUCCUGGUCAGUUUGUUAGAACAGUCUCAUUACUUUGGAGGCCCAGCUCAUCUUUCUUGUGGCUGUUAUAGGUGGACUAGUACCACAGAGAACACAUAGUCCCACACCUUGAUUUUACAGAAGAUGAAAUUGGUAGGUGUAUAUAUUUUAUCAGGUUUCUAAAUUCAAUCAAAUAUCAUGAAU
rnacentral:lncRNA from 1 species